UCAAGUGACUAAGCGUGCACGGUGGAUGCCUUGGCAUCUGGAGGCGAUGAAAGACGUGGUAGCCUGCGAUAAGUUUCGGGGAGGUGGCAAACAACCUUUGAUCCGGAAAUCUCUGAAUGGGGAAACCCACCUGUCAUAAGGCAGGUAUCUGCAACUGAAUACAUAGGUUGUAGAGGCGAACCGGGAGAACUGAAACAUCUAAGUACCCCGAGGAAAAGAAAUCAACCGAGAUUCCCUUAGUAGCGGCGAGCGAACGGGGACCAGCCCUUAAGCUUCAAUGUAGUUAACAGAACGCUCUGGAAAGUGCGGCCAUAGUGGGUGAUAGCCCCGUAUGUGAAAACUUAUUUGAAGUGAAAUCGAGUAGGUCGGGACACGUGAUAUCCUGACUGAAUAUGGGGGGACCAUCCUCCAAGGCUAAAUACUCCCAGAUGACCGAUAGUGAACCAGUACCGUGAGGGAAAGGCGAAAAGAACCCCUGUGAGGGGAGUGAAAUAGAUCCUGAAACCGUGUACGUACAAGCAGUGGGAGCCGACUUUGUUCGGUGACUGCGUACCUUUUGUAUAAUGGGUCAGCGACUUAAUGUUAGUGGCAAGGUUAAGCUUAUAGCGGAGCCGUAGGGAAACCGAGUGUUAACUGCGCGUCCAGUCGCUAGCAUUAGACCCGAAACCGGGCGAUCUAUCCAUGAGCAGGUUGAAGGUUGAGUAACAUCAACUGGAGGACCGAACCCACUGUCGUUGAAAAGCCAGGGGAUGACUUGUGGAUCGGAGUGAAAGGCUAAUCAAGCCCGGAGAUAGCUGGUUCUCCUCGAAAACUAUUUAGGUAGUGCCUCGGACGAAUGCCACUGGGGGUAGAGCACUGUUAAGGCUAGGGGGUCAUCCCGACUUACCAACCCUUUGCAAACUCCGAAUACCAAUGAGAACUAUCCGGGAGACACACGGCGGGUGCUAACGUCCGUCGUGGAGAGGGAAACAACCCAGACCGCCAGCUAAGGUCCCAAAAUAUUGCUAAGUGGGAAACGAUGUGGGAAGGCACAGACAGCUAGGAGGUUGGCUUAGAAGCAGCCACCCUUUAAAGAAAGCGUAAUAGCUCACUAGUCGAGUCGGCCUGCGCGGAAGAUGUAACGGGGCUAAGCAAUAUACCGAAGCUGCGGCAGCACAGUUUACUGUGCUGGGUAGGGGAGCGUUGUGUAAGUGGAUGAAGGUGAGUUGUAAAGCUUGCUGGACAUAUCACAAGUGCGAAUGCUGACAUGAGUAACGAUAAUGGGAGUGAAAAACUCCCACGCCGGAAGACCAAGGUUUCCUGUCCCAUGCUAAUCAGGGCAGGGUAAGUCGGCCCCUAAGGCGAGGCAGAAAUGCGUAGUCGAUGGGAAACGGAUUAAUAUUUCCGUACUUAUAUAAUCAGUGAUGGAGGGACGGAGAAGGCUAGGCAAGCUUGGCGUUGGUUGUCCAAGUGAAAGUGCGUAGACCGAGAACUUAGGUAAAUCCGGGUUCUUAAAGUCGAGACACGAGACGAGCCACCAAGGUGGUGAAGUUGUUGAUGCCCUGCUUCCAGGAAAAGCUUCUAAACUUAUGAUUAUAUGAACCGUACCCCAAACCGACACAGGUGGUCAGGUAGAGAAUACUAAGGCGCUUGAGAGAACUCGGGUGAAGGAACUCGGCAAAAUUGUACCGUAACUUCGGGAGAAGGUACGCCUCUGUGUGUGAAGACUUCGCGUCGUAAGCACAUGGAGGCCGCAGUGACCAGGUGGCUGGGACUGUUUAUUAAAAACACAGCACUCUGCAAACUCGUAAGAGGACGUAUAGGGUGUGACACCUGCCCGGUGCCGGAAGGUUAAUUGAUGGGGUUAGUUUUCGGACGAAGCUCUUGAUCGAAGCCCCGGUAAACGGCGGCCGUAACUAUAACGGUCCUAAGGUAGCGAAAUUCCUUGUC
rnacentral:rRNA from 1 species